rnacentral:rRNA from 1 species
ACGAACGCUGGCGGCCGCCUAACACAUGCAAGUCGAGCGAAGCGGCGAACGGGUGAGUAACGCGUGAGCAACCUGCCUAUGACAGUGGGAUAGCCUCGGGAAACCGGGAUUAAUACCGCAUAGUCAUAGAUGGGCUCGCGUCUGAUUAGCUAGUUGGUGAGAUAACAGCCCACCAAGGCGACGAUCAGUAGCCGGUCUGAGAGGAUGAACGGCCACAUUGGAAGUGAGACACGGUCCAAACUCCUACGGGAGGCAGCAGUGGGGAAUCUUGCACAAUGGGGGGAACCCUGAUGCAGCGACGCCGCGUGAGCGAUGAAGGUUUUCGAAUCGUAAAGCUCUGUACUAUGGGAAGCGGUACCAUAGGAGGAAGCCCCGGCUAACUACGUGCCAGCAGCCGCGGUAAUAC